CAUAACAUUUUAAUAUUUAUGAGUUAUGACCAUGAUGAAAUUAGUAGAUUGUAUCGAUUGAAUAAUAUUUCAAUUCGCAUAGUUAUCUUUACAUAAAAUAUUUUACAAUCAAAACCGAAACAUCAUAAUAAUAUUAUAGUUUUAUUCCGUUUCACCUUUGUUUAAACUAUAAAAAAAUUGUACCGUCGUUAUUUUACUUCAAACGGUCGGGUUACAUCCGCAGACGUCGCCAUGGCUGUAAUGCACGAGUCCAUUGAUGAUCCACAGUUGGUGGCGGCCGCCAAUGUGUUCGUAGAUGACAUAAUCGAGACCGCCAAAGUCGAAGCAGCGCAACGAACCAUGACCAAAUGCAAUGGAGGAUCUCAUUUAUUUGAAUCAAAUAUAAAGAAAAUUAAUGAAUGGCAGAAUCGAGCUAAAGGUGUGUUUAGACGUUUCAUGACAACCAUAUGUGUAAGAUUUCAAGAUCUUACCUCCAAAUAAUGCAAAUAAUAAUAAAUUGGAAAAAAAAUGGUUAACAAUAAUUUCUUUAAAUUAGUUGGACUCAAGAAGUCUUCAUAAAGUUACCUACUAUAUUAAACACAAUAUACAAAUUAUAAUUAUCUACAAAAAAUAUAUUAAUAAAUAAUAAUCAUAAUUUAAGUGCCAUUCAAAAAUAUUUUAGAAAUAAACAAUUAAUAAGCAUCUGUUUCAUUACCAUAAAUACUGUGAACCUACUACCUAGUGUUUAAGUAUAUUAUAAUAUUGGUGCAACAUAUAUUAAAUAUUAUUUAUUUUAUUAUUUAAGUUAAAGAAAAAAAUCAUGAUUCACACAUAAAUAAUAAUUAUAAUUGAACAUGUAUUUAAUCUACCUAUAAUUUUAAGGGAAAUUUUCUUUCCAUAGAUUCAGAUUAAGAGUUAAAUUACUUUGUUUGUGAUGUUUGUAAUGUUUGUGAACAUUUAUUGAUAUUUAAGUAUUAUUUAUAUGUCAAAUAUGUCACAGUUAAAAUAUGAAUUCCUAUUGGUUAAAAGUCUAACUAAGAAGUUAUAUAAACUGCUAAUUGUAGUAUAUACAUAAUACAAUUCCACACUUAAAUCAAUCAACUUUUGUCCUAGUAGGUUAUAUAAAUUAGUUGUCUGAUUUCAAGCGUAAUAUAAAUUGUUUUUUCUAAUAAAUACUCAAUCUACUUCAUGCCUAAGACAAUAAUUGUUGAUUAAACAAUGAGAUAUUGACUAAUAAAAAAAACCAAUUAUCAUCAACUUAACCAAUAUUCAUACUUUUAUAUAAUAAUAUGACAUAUAUAUAACUCCAUGGGGCCAUGUACUGUCUUGUGAUUAACAUUGCACUAUUAAACUGGUUGCAUAAUAAUUAAAACUCAAAUACUCAAAUAUUAAUAAAGUUACUUUUUCACCUCUUGAAUUCUUUAUAUUAAUAAUAAUACAUUUUUAAACCUUGAGUUUAUUUCAAAAUUGACUGUUUGAUUAAAUCUUGAAUCUAUGAAAUUUUAACCAUUAUUAAUAAUUUAUAUUGAGCCUAAAAGACAAAACUUUCUUUUUAAUGUUAUAUUUAUCAAGUUGAAAGACACAUACUGUAUUAUUCAUUAUAAAUUAUGUAACAUAAAGUUACCUUAUCCUAUAACCCUUAACUUAAGUCAAUUAUGUUAAUUUUUAUUAUUUUACUUUGACAAUCAAAAUUAAUGUAUUAAUAUCUUGAAAUAUAUUAUGAUUUCUGUUCAAUGCAAACAAUAUUUUUAUUUUAUAUUUUUUUUAGUUACAAUAUUUGUAUAACUUACUGACAAUUUAAUUGUUACUGCUUAAACCUAAAACAUUAAAAAAAUAAUUAUUAAAUUAAAACUGAGUUACGAUGUCAUUAAUCUUAUACACUUAUUGUAAACAGUAAAAGUGUGUGUACUAUAAUAUAAUAAUAUACAUUUCCAAUUGUAGAGCAUUUAUCAAUAAUAUUAAGAAAAUAUAAAAUAGAAUAUCUAGAUUAGUAAUUAUAAUUUAUAUUUAUUAUUAUUAUUUAGCUUUUUAUUUAUUCCUUUCAGAAAAAUUAUUGUUUUCCUCUCAUGUUAAAUGUGUUGUUUUAUUGUAAUGUUGUUUGUACCUUUAUUUUUAUUUCAUUAGUUGAAUACUAUAAUAUAGUAUGGCAUAUUAUAUUAUAUUAUAUAAUCAUAUUAUAUUAUAUCAUGGCAUAUCAACCAUUUAUAGUCUAUAUUGUACUCUAAAUACGGUCUAGAUUUAUUAUUAGUACAUUUUUGUAGUGUAGUAAGUAGACAUAAUAAAUAUUGAUAAAAAAACUUUA
rnacentral:lncRNA from 1 species